CCUACGGGUGGCUGCAGUGGGGAAUAUUGGACAAUGGGCGAAAGCCUGAUCCAGCCAUGCCGCGUGUGUGAAGAAGGCCUUCGGGUUGUAAAGCACUUUCAGUGGGGAAGAAAGCCUUGGGGCUAAUACCCUCGAGGAAGGACAUCACCCACAGAAGAAGCACCGGCUAACUCCGUGCCAGCAGCCGCGGUAAUACGGAGGGUGCGAGCGUUAAUCGGAAUUACUGGGCGUAAAGCGCGCGUAGGCGGUCUGAUAAGCCGGUUGUGAAAGCCCCGGGCUCAACCUGGGAACGGCAUCCGGAACGGUCAGGCUAGAGGGCGGGAGAGGAAGGUAGAAUUCCCGGUGUAGCGGUGAAAUGCGUAGAGAUCGGGAGGAAUACCAGUGGCGAAGGCGGCCUUCUGGACUGACACUGACGCUGAGGUGCGAAAGCGUGGGUAGCAAACAGGAUUAGAUACCCCUGUAGUC
rnacentral:rRNA from 1 species